UAGUAAACGUGACAUGGUGCGGAUCGUC
rnacentral:sRNA from 1 species